CCUACGGGAGGCAGCAGUGAGGAAUUUUCCGCAAUGGGCGAAAGCCUGACGGAGCAAUGCCGCGUGGAGGAGGAAGGCCUGUGGGUCGUAAACUCCUUUUCUCAGAGAAGAAGUUCUGACGGUAUCUGAGGAAUAAGCAUCGGCUAACUCUGUGCCAGCAGCCGCGGUAAUACAGGGGAUGCAAGCGUUAUCCGGAAUUAUUGGGCGUAAAGCGUCCUGAGGUGGCUUACCCAGUCGACUGUGAAAGCUCAAGGCUUAACCUUGAAACGGCAGUCGAAACUUGUAAGCUUGAGUACGGUAGGGGCAGAGGGAAUUCCCGGAGGAGAGGUGAAAUUCGUAGAUAUCGGGAGGAAGGCCAAAGGCGAAAGCACUCUGCUGGGCCGAUUACUGACACUGACAGACGAAAGCUAGGGGAGCGAAAGGGAUUAGAUACCCCUGUAGUCCUAGCCGUAAACGAUGGAUACUAAGUGUUGCGCGACUACAAAACGUGCAGUGCUGCAGCUAACGCGGUAAGUAUCCCGCCUGGGGAGUAUGCCGCGAAGGGUGAAACUCAAAGGAAAUUGACGGGNUUGAGAGUUGCGAGCGACGACGAGGGAGAGG
rnacentral:rRNA from 1 species